CACGUUUGUCACAGAGACGUUGACUGCAUGGCAGCUUGAGAACUUGAUUGACACAUUUAAAGGCCAUCCACAGACACAAAGAAAGCCCUUGCCGUGGCAUUGGUGUAUGAAUUCCCUUGCCUUUUGGAUGGUACAGGCAGUGGCUAUGGAGCUUGGUACACACCUGGCCGAAAUCACAAACCUGCUACAGGUUUCCUGGAGGAGCGCUUGAGGAACGUCAGGAAGCACAUGAGAAUGCUGAAACGACCACGCCACCAAGAACAACAGAAGGAACAGACCGUCCCCAGUACACCAGAAUAUGAUGUGCCUCCUGAAAAACUUCUAGAAAUGGUUGAAUGGAUGAAGGUCAAUAGGUAUCCAGUAUCCCAAGUUGAGGACUACAUGAAUCAAACAGCUCUACAUAGAGGCAAGGGGAUUUGCAG